rnacentral:rRNA from 1 species
AGCUCCAAUAGCGUAUACUAAAGUUGUUGCAGUUAAAAAGCUCGUAGUUGGAUUUCUGUGUGGGUGAGGCAACCGGCUCUCAGGAGUUGCAGUUAGUUAUCACCUGCGCAUCUUGGCACAAUCCGCUCUGAUCUUUACUGGUUGGGGUCGGGGACUGCCUCGUUUACUUUGAGAAAAUUAGAGUGUUCAAAGCAGGCUAUCGCCUUGAAUAUGUUAGCAUGGAAUAAUAAUAUAGGACUUUGGUUCUAUUUUGUUGGUUGUUUCGAGAACCGAAGUAAUGAUUGAUAGGGACAGUUGGGGGCAUCAGUAUUCUGAAGCGAGAGGUGAAAUUCUUGGACCUUCGGAAGACUAACAACUGCGAAAGCAU